CAUGGCGUCGUGCAUUCCGUUUCAAACCCAGCUGUCUUCAAUAAUGGAGGUCCUGGUGAAAGCAGCGGUGGCAGAGAUAUCCAAACUAGUCGAUGACAAAUGUGCGUUUUUGCACCUUGAAAUCUCCCGAAAGCAAAGCGAGAAUGAGAUGCUGAAGAGGAAACUGCUGAUGUUGGAGGGUAAAAACGCACAGCUGCAGCGCGGCUUCGAAAACUACAUGGACAGAGGAAGUGAUGCUGGGACAAACUGCCCACAUCCCAUAGGGGACAUGAAGUUUCCUGACAUAGACGAUGCUGCUGUUUCCUUCACAAUUAAACAAGAGGCUUCAGAUGAACCAAUAUGGAUCAGUGAUUCUGCUGCAAUUGGUGAGUUUACACGCUUGGUUUAGUUUUAGAGCUGUAUAUACAACUGUUGCUGCUUUGUGCUUGAGCCUGACCUCGCCGUGCUCCUGUGACCUGCAGGGUCUGCUGUUCAGUACCCUCCGAAUAACCCGCAGUUUCAAGAGAACCAUUCGGACAUCACCAGGCAAAAGACGUUGGGGUACAGUGAGACCUAUAACC
rnacentral:lncRNA from 1 species